rnacentral:rRNA from 1 species
CUACGGGUGGCUCCAGUGGGGAAUAUUGGACAAUGGGGGAAACCCUGAUCUAGCAAUGCCGCGUGUGUGAAGAAGGCCUGCGGGUUGUAAAGCACUUUCGGUUGGGAGGACUGCUUCUAGCACUAAUAUUGUUGGAAGUUGACGUUACCUUCAGAAGAAGCACCGGCUAACUCCGUGCCAGCAGCCGCGGUAAUACGGAGGGUGCAAGCGUUAAUCGGAAUUACUGGGCGUAAAGCGCGCGUAGGCGGCUAGAUCAGUCGGGUGUGAAAGCCCCGGGCUUAACCUGGGAACUGCAUCCGAUACUGUCUAGCUUGAGUACAGGAGAGGAGAGUGGAAUUCCACAUGUAGCGGUGAAAUGCGUAGAUAUGUGGAGGAACACCAAUGGCGAAGGCAGCUCUCUGGCCUGAUACUGACGCUGAGGUGCGAUAGCGUGGGGAGCGAACAGGAUUAGAUACCCUCGUAGUC